rnacentral:rRNA from 1 species
CGGAGGGUGCGAGCGUUAUCCGGAAUCACUGGGUUUAAAGGGUGCGUAGGCGGUCUGAUAAGUCAGUUGUGAAAUUACCUCGGCUUAACCGAGUGGACUGCGAUUGAUACUGUCAGACUUGAAUCAGGUUGAGGUAGGCGGAAUGUGACAUGUAGCGGUGAAAUGCUUAGAUAUGUCAUAGAACACCGAUUGCGAAGGCAGCUUGCUGGGCUUAGAUUGACGCUGAGGCACGAAAGCGUGGGGAGCAAACAGGAUU